rnacentral:rRNA from 1 species
CCUACGGGGGGCAGCAGUAAGGAGUAUUGGUCAAUGGGCGCAAGCCUGAACCAGCCACGUCGCGUGAAGGAUGAAUGCCCUACGGGUUUUAAACUUCUUUUAUAAAGGAGUAAAGUGAGGCACGUAUGCCUUUUUGUAUGUACUUUAUGAAUACGGAUCGUCUAACUCCGUGCCAGCAGCCGCGGUAAUACGGAGGAUCCGAGCGUUAUCCGGAUUUAGUGGGUUUAAAGGGAGCGUAGAUGGGUUGUUAAGUCAGUUGUGAAAGUUUGCGGCUCAACCGUAAUAUUGCAAUUGAUACUGGCAGCCUUGAGUACAGUUGAGGUAGGCGGAAUUCGUGGUGUAGCGGUGAAAUGCUUAGAUAUCACGAAGAACUCCGAUUGCGAAGGCAGCCUACUAAACUGCCACUGACAUUGAUGCUCGAAAGUGUGGGUAUCAAACAGGAUUAGAUACCCGUGUAGUC